rnacentral:lncRNA from 1 species
CAGUUCACUACCAAUACCCAGAUAUAAGAGCAUGACAGAAGAUAAAGCAGGGAGAAAUGAAGGUGGAAAAAAGGCUGUGUCACUGGAAGAGAGGAACAUUAAUGACACAAGACAACAGUGUCAUCUCCUACUACAGAAUCAGUCUUGAAGAAAGAAAAAUAUCAAAGAGGUUGUUCAAAAUAAAUCAAAAGCCUUGGCCAAGUUGGCUGGCUGCGUGGCAGAUAUUUAUUGCCUCACACAGUCCUUAUAGAGGGACAACAACUGGCACCAAUUGCUUAGAUAUAAAUUAAAAAAGGUACUUCCAGCAAAAGAAAACAAAUAACAGUGUUCAAUAUUUUCUUGCUGGUUAAGGUAGAAACUGCCUCUAGAGCAGAGGGAACACAAAAAGAGGAUGUGUUUAAAUCACAGCGUUCAGCUCUGAAUUCUACUCUCAGUCAACACUAUUGUCAAUUAAAUAUGUAUGUAUAUGUAGCUAUUUCAUUUUUAUUGCAUUUCAUGUAUUAUCUUAUUCAGGAUACACGCUUUAUCAUUUUUAAGGGCCAGUUCUGUUUGGAAGAAUUUGUUCUCAGGUUCAGUGUUCAGCAAUUUUUGGGGCUGCAUCUGGAGCCACGUAAGACAUGAACCCCCAGUCACUACCACCACCGUAAAGCAUAAGGCAGUGAUAGUAUUUCCAUGCAUAGCAAUGCCCUUCUGAUCUAAGGUCCAGACACAUGAGGCUAAGUAGCACUUGGGGAUAACUCCUAGCUCCCCUUCUAGGGGUCAUGAACUCACAGUAUUCUUAGGUAGAGAUGGCUCCUACUGCAGGUACCAUCAUCUCCAGCUUAUGCCUUUUGCCAAGCACAUGGUCUCAGUGCUCAUCAGAGCCAAAUAUCACCCAAGCAUUCACAAGCUUUUAAAGUUUAGUGUAUUUGGAUUAGUAAAGGCUGUGUUUUUAACCUUUACAUCAGUAAUUAACAGACUUUUGCAAUCUGCUCUGCUAAAUAUGUAAUUUAUAGUUAAACAAACUUCAUUUUUUGAGAGAAACUAAGUGCAAGAGUAACAAAUAUGGCCAUGUAGCUAUCCUCAAGCAAAAGCUAAGAAAGAUUUACAAAGUUUAGCAAAGGUCAUAUAUCUCCCACAGUAUACAUUUAUGGUUUCCAGGGUAAGGCCAGAGGGAACAACACAACACAAUCUUCUAUUCUGAGCUACUCUGUGACAGCUUUAGACCCUUUUACUCAGUGCAGCAGGGAAGAUUCUCCUUCCUUAGUAUGUACCAACAUUUAAGUUAUUUAAACUGUCAUUGAACGAGGU